GUGCUCACUUUGGCAGCACAUAUACUAAAAUUGGACCGAUACAGAGAAGAUUAGCAUGGCCCCUGCGUUAGGAUGACAUGCAGAUUCAUGAAACGUUCCAUAUUUUU
rnacentral:snRNA from 1 species